CUUGGGAACUGGUGCCACCAGAUAAAGUUCAUUCCUGAGCUCAAGCUUGUUGCCUCCUGCUCAGCAGCUGAUAAGAGCCAUGAUGCUUACUUUGUUUCCAUUAAAAUAACACCGGCAAACCCUGAGAUUUGGGAUCUGCUUCACUUGUCAUGAAACAGCCUGAAGAAGAAGAGACUGCUCAAGGAAAAGGACAUCAGCAAGUGUGGUUCUGUGCUUUAGGUGAUUUUACAACAGAAAUGUGAGAAGAAUCCUGACACAACUAUCCUAAUCACCAGUUCUGAGGAUGGCUGUAUUUAUGCUUCAUUAGUAGGUAAGAAAGGGGGAAUGCUGGGCAAAUUCUGAGCAGAGCACUGUAAAGGUGAGUGCAGUUGACCAGACCACGUCUAUAGAAGCUGAUGACUGGAUCUUCUUGACUGGGCAUUAGAGUAUCUUCAGGAGGAAACUAAACUAAAAUACUUACCCAUACUGAAUGCAGAAAUAUGGUCCAGCAGGGUGCUGACUUUAU